rnacentral:lncRNA from 1 species
ACGAAGCAGGGUCACGAACUCUUCCAUCGCCCUUCUUGUGUUUCUCAGAAUAUAUUUGGGAAGUCGUAUUGUUUUCCACUUUAUCAAGGAAUUCGUAUUCCAUGACAAGGUUUCUAAUUUAGUAAUCGGACUUAAAUCAAUAUCUCUUUCCUAAGAUGCAGAUGCGAUGCAAUCAUAAUCAAAGCACAAUAAAAAUGGUUAGUACAAAAACAAAC